rnacentral:rRNA from 1 species
UACGGAGGGGGCAAGCGUUGUUCGGAAUUACUGGGCGUAAAGGGCGCGUAGGCGGUCUGUUGCGUCAGGUGUGAAAGCCCUGGGCUCAACCUAGGAGGUGCACUUGAUACGGGCAGACUAGAAUCCGAGAGAGGGUGGUGGAAUUCCCAGUGUAGAGGUGAAAUUCGUAGAUAUUGGGAAGAACACCGAUGGCGAAGGCAGCCACCUGGCUCGGUAUUGACGCUGAGGCGCGAAAGCGUGGGGAGCAAACAGG